UGGGGAAUAUUGCACAAUGGGCGCAAGCCUGAUGCAGCCAUGCCGCGUGUAUGAAGAAGGCCUUCGGGUUGUAAAGUACUUUCAGCGGGGAGGAAGGUGUUGUGGUUAAUAACCUCAGCAAUUGACGUUACCCGCAGAAGAAGCACCGGCUAACUCCGUGCCAGCAGCCGCGGUAAUACGGAGGGUGCAAGCGUUAAUCGGAAUUACUGGGCGUAAAGCGCACGCAGGCGGUCUGUCAAGUCGGAUGUGAAAUCCCCGGGCUCAACCGGGGAACUGCAUCCGAAACUGGCAGGCUUGAGUCUUGUAGAGGGGGGUAGAAUUCCAGGUGUAGCGGUGAAAUGCGUAGAGAUCUGGAGGAAUACCGGUGGCGAAGGCGGCCCCCUGGACAAAGACUGACGCUCAGGUGCGAAAGCGUGGGGAGCAAACA
rnacentral:rRNA from 1 species